rnacentral:rRNA from 1 species
AUUGAACGCUGGCGGCAUGCCUUACACAUGCAAGUCGAACGGCAGCACGGGGCAACCUGGAGGCGAGUGGCGAACGGGUGAGUAAUGCAUCGGAACGUACCUUUCAGUGGGGGAUAACGUAGCGAAAGUUACGCUAAUACCGCAUAUUCUGUGAGCAGGAAAGCAGGGGAUCGCAAGAACUUGCGCUGAUUGAGCGGCCGAUGUCAGAUUAGAUAGUUGGUGAGGUAAAGGCUCACCAAGGCGACGAUCUGUAGCGGGUCUGAGAGGAUGAUCCGCCACACUGGAACUGAGACACGGUCCAGACUCCUACGGGAGGCAGCAGUGGGGAAUUUUGGACAAUGGGGGCAACCCUGAUCCAGCCAUGCCGCGUGAGUGAAGAAGGCCUUCGGGUUGUAAAGCUCUUUCGGCCGGGAAGAAAUCGCACGGGCUAAUACCCUGUGUGGAUGACGGUACCGGGAUAAGGAGCACCGGCUAACUACGUGCCAGCAGCCGCGGUAAAAC